rnacentral:rRNA from 1 species
UACGGGGGGGGCAAGCGUUGUUCGGAAUUACUGGGCGUAAAGGGCUCGUAGGUGGCCAACUAAGUCAGACGUGAAAUCCCUCGGCUUAACCGGGGAACUGCGUCUGAUACUGGAUGGCUUGAGUUUGGGAGAGGGACGCGGAAUUCCAGGUGUAGCGGUGAAAUGCGUAGAUAUCUGGAGGAACACCGGUGGCGAAGGCGGCGUCCUGGACCAACACUGACACUGAGACGCGAAAGCGUGGGGAGCGAACAGG